rnacentral:rRNA from 1 species
UACGUAGGGUGCGAGCGUUGUCCGGAAUUACUGGGCGUAAAGAGCUCGUAGGUGGUUUGUCGCGUUGUUCGUGAAAACUCACAGCUCAACUGUGGGCGUGCGGGCGAUACGGGCAGACUGGAGUACUGCAGGGGAGACUGGAAUUCCUGGUGUAGCGGUGGAAUGCGCAGAUAUCAGGAGGAACACCGGUGGCGAAGGCGGUCUGCUGGGGUCGAACUGACGCUGAGGCGCGACAGCGUGGGGAGCAAACAGG